rnacentral:rRNA from 1 species
CUACGGGAGGCACCAGUGAGGAAUAUUGCACAAUGGGGGGAACCCUGAUGCAGCAACGCCGCGUGGAGGAUGACGCAUUUCGGUGUGUAAACUCCUUUUAUAUGUCGAGAAAAUGACGGUAGCAUAUGAAUAAGCACCGGCUAACUCCGCGCCAGCAGCCGCGGUAAUACGGAGGGUGCAAGCGUUACUCGGAAUCACUGGGCGUAAAGGACGCGUAGGCGGGUUGGAAAGUCAGGUGUGAAAUCCUGCAGCUUAACUGUAGAACUGCACUUGAAACUUCUAAUCUAGAGUAUGGGAGGGGGAGAUGGAAUUAGUGGUGUAGGGGUAAAAUCCGUAGAUAUCACUAGGAAUACCUAAAGCGAAGGCGAUCUCCUGGAACAUUACUGACGCUAAGGCGUGAAAGCGUGGAGAGCAAACAGGAUUAGAUACCCUGGUAGUC